rnacentral:lncRNA from 1 species
CAGCCAGUGGAUGAGAUUGUUUACUGAGGGUCUAGAGUCAGAAGGAAAAGGGCCACCGAGAGAAAGCCAGAGGUCAUCAAUAUUUGUAGAGAAGAGCUGGAAAGGAAGGCUUAAACUUAAAACAGUGUGGUCAGAGAAGUGGAAAGAAUACGCAGUGUCACCAGUGACUGGGGCAGAGGCAGUUUCUAGGAAGAGGGGCUGCUCCUCAUGGUCAAGUGUACUUACAAGGCAGUGUGGCCCAGUGGGCAGAGUGUUUGUCUCACAUUCACAGAGCCAUGGAUUAAAUUCAUAGUUCCUCAAAGUAAACCAGGUAUGAUGGUGCAGUGCCAGCAUCCCCUCCCCCGAGAAGAUCAGAAGUUCCUCGUUGUCCUUGGCCUUGGAGGCUAAACCUGGGCUGCAUCAGAUCCAGGCUCAGAACAACAGCAGAAGAUCUGAAAACAAGGAGGUCACUGGUGACUUCAGUGAUGACAUUUGCAGGAAGCCAGGAAGGCUAUCAUUAGCCAGAUUAUAGGGAAGGAUGGUGGCCCGAGAGGAUCAAGUCUAUGAGUCCUGUUUUUGUUUGUUUUUUUGAGAUAGGAUCUCUACAAUGCUGGCUGACCUGGAACUUGCUAUGUAGGUCACAAGGGCCUCGAAUUCACAGUAAUGCUCCUGCCUCAGCUUCCCAAGUGCUAGGAUCAUAGGCAUGAGCCAUCAUGCCAUGCACAAGAGAUUACUGUGUUUUAAAAUCUUGGGUAAGAGCUGGUGAGAUGGCCCAGUGGAUAAAGUGUUCGUUGUCAGUACUGACUAAUUGAGUUCUGUCUCCAGGAUUCCUAUGGUGGGAGGGAAGAAUCAGUCCCCUCAGGUUGUCCUCUGAUCUCCAUAUACACAAGUCUCCCACCCCAAUAAACAAAGAAAUGUAAGUUAAAUGUACUUAAGCACAAAGCAAAGGUUUGGGUAAGACUACACUUGUGUACAGGCAAGGGAAGGGUCAGGGCGAGAAAUCAAGGCUAGAAGAGGAACAUCUGAGGUGUUUUGGCCUGGAAAGAAGUGGAGUUCAAUAUCAGGUGAAGGUCUGAGCCCCAGGAGGGUUGGGUGGUCCUCCUUCCAGGAGUCAUAGCCCGGGGAUAGAUGGAGAUGUAGGAAGCCAGCUCAAGUGUGCGGGGUGAGCAGCGCAGAGCAUGAGUGUCGAAGUGUCCCAGAGAAGUGUGGAAGUCUGCCUGGGCUCAGUCUGCACUGGUUCUGUAAACCUAGCUAAUG